rnacentral:rRNA from 1 species
CCUACGGGUGGCAGCAGUGAGGAAUAUUGGUCAAUGGCCGGAAGCCUGAACCAGCCAAGCCGCGUGAAGGACGAAGGUGCCAAGCAUUGUAAACUUCUUUUGUCAAGGGACAAAAUCAGGCUCGAGAGCCUGACCGAGGGUACUUGAAGAAAAAGCAUCGGCUAACUCCGUGCCAGCAGCCGCGGUAAUACGGAGGAUGCGAGCGUUAUCCGGAGUUAUUGGGUUUAAAGGGUGCGUAGGGGGACUGUUAAGUCAGCGGUAAAAGCGCGGGGCUCAACCCCGGCGAGCCGUUGAUACUGGCUGUCUUGAGAUGUCGAGAGGUAUGCGGAAUGCGCAGUGUAGCGGUGAAAUGCUUAGAUAGUGUGCAGAACUCCGAUUGCGAAGGCAGCAGACCGGCGGCGAUCUGACGCUGAGGCACGAAAGCGUGGGUAUCGAACAGGAUUAGAUACCCGUGUAGUC